rnacentral:rRNA from 1 species
UUAAUGAACCCUUCGGGGAGAAUUAAAGUGGAUUAGUGGCGAACGGGUGAGUAACGCGUGAGUAACCUGCCUUACACAAGGGGAUAGCCUUUGGAAACGAAGAAUAAUACCCUAUAAAACCAUAAAAGCACAUGCAAUUAUGGUCAAAGUGAUAGCGGUGUAAGAUGGACUUGCGUCUGAUUAGCUAGUUGGCGAGAUAAAAGCCCACCAAGGCAACGACCAGUAGCCGGCUUGAGAGAGUGUACGGCCACAUUGGGACUGAGACACGGCCCAGACUCCUACGGGAGGCAGCAGUGGGGAAUUUUGCACAAUGGGGGAAACCCUGAUGCAGCGACGCCGCGUGAUUUAGAAGGCCUUCGGGUUGUAAAAAUCUUUUGUAUAGGAAGAAAAUGACAGUACUAUACGAAUAAGGUCCGGCUAAUUACGUGCCAGCAGCCGCGGUAAUACGUAAGGACCGAGCGUUGUCCGGAAUCAUUGGGCGUAAAGGGUACGUAGGCGGCUAGAAAAGUUAGAAGUCAAAGGCUAUAGCUCAACUAUAGUAAGCUUCUAAAACUAUUUAGCUUGAGAGAUGGAAGGGACAGUGGAAUUCCUAGUGUAGCGGUGGAAUGCGCAGAUAUUAGGAGGAAUACCGGUGGCGAAGGCGACUUUCUGGCCAUUUUCUGACGCUGAGGUACGAAAGCGUGGGUAGCAAACAGGAUUAGAUACCCUGGUAGUCCACGCCGUAAACGAUG